rnacentral:rRNA from 1 species
AACGAACGCUGGCGGCAGGCCUAACACAUGCAAGUCGAGCGAAGCCUUCGGGCUUAGCGGCGGACGGGUGAGUAACGCGUGGGAACGUGCCCUUUGGUACGGAAUAGCCCCGGGAAACUGGGAGUAAUACCGUAUGUGGUCGAGAGACGAAAGAUUUAUCGCCAAAGGAUCGGCCCGCGUUGGAUUAGGUAGUUGGUGGGGUAAUGGCCUACCAAGCCGACGAUCCAUAGCUGGUUUGAGAGGAUGAUCAGCCACACUGGGACUGAGACACGGCCUAGACCACUACGGGAGGCAGCAGUGGGGAAUCUUAGACAAUGGGGGAAAGCCUGAUCGAGCCAUGCCGCGUGAUCGAUGAAGGCCUUAGGGUUGUAAAGAUCUUUCAGUGGGGAAGAUAAUGACUGUACCCACAGAAGAAGCCCCGGCUAACUCCGUGCCAGCAGCCGCCGUAA